rnacentral:pre_miRNA from 1 species
UCUUUGGUUAUCUAGCUGUAUGAGUGUAUCUGAUGUCAUAAAGCUAGAAAACCGAAUGUA